UAGGGAAUUUUCCGCAAUGGGCGAAAGCCUGACGGAGCAACGCCGCGUGAGUGAUGAAGGCCUUCGGAUCGUAAAACUCUGUUAUUAGGGAAGAACAAAUGUGUAAGUAACUAUGCACGUCUUGACGGUACCUAAUCAGAAAGCCACGGCUAACUACGUGCCAGCAGCCGCGGUAAUACGUAGGUGGCAAGCGUUAUCCGGAAUUAUUGGGCGUAAAGCGCGCGUAGGCGGUUUUUUAAGUCUGAUGUGAAAGCCCACGGCUCAACCGUGGAGGGUCAUUGGAAACUGGAAAGCUUGAGUGCAGAAGAGGAAAGUGGAAUUCCAUGUGUGGCGGUGAAAUGCGCAGAGAUAUGGAGGAACACCAGUGGCGAAGGCGACUUUCUGGUCUGUAACUGACGCUGAUGUGCGAAAGCGUGGGGAUCAAACAGG
rnacentral:rRNA from 1 species